rnacentral:lncRNA from 1 species
CGAAGUUUAUCUAGCUCAAAGGUUAGCUCACUACUUUCGCCUCUCAACGAGGAAUAUGUGGAAUCUUUUACUUCCAGCUGAAUGUUCAAAAGUUUCACUCCUCAGCCUUUUCUUCAAUGGUUAGACAAUCCAAGUGUUGCUUUCUUUUAGAUAAGUAAGAGUCAACUUUUUUCAGAAACACAUCCAUGCGCUUCAUCAAAGGCGCUGGAUCUAUAUGGAAACUGGUAAUCACG